rnacentral:sRNA from 1 species
GCUGGGUAUGGUGGUGCAUGCCUAUAAUCCCAGCCAUUUGGGAGGCUGAGGCAGGAGGAUUGCAAAUUCAAAGCCAGCCUCAGCAAUUUAGCAAAACCCUAUCUCAA